UGGGGAAUAUUGCGCAAUGGGCGAAAGCCUGACGCAGCAACACCGUGUGAGCGAUGAAGGCCUUAGGGUUGUAAAGCUCUGUCAAAUGGGAAGAAUUAUGACGGUACCAUUAGAGGAAGCCCCGGCUAACUCCGUGCCAGCAGCCGCGGUAAUACGGAGGGUGCGAGCGUUAAUCGGAAUUACUGGGCGUAAAGCGCAUGCAGGUGGUUUGUUAAGUCAGAUGUGAAAGCCCGGGGCUCAACCUCGGAAUAGCAUUUGAAACUGGCAGACUAGAGUACUGUAGAGGGGGGUAGAAUUUCAGGUGUAGCGGUGAAAUGCGUAGAGAUCUGAAGGAAUACCGGUGGCGAAGGCGGCCCCCUGGACAGAUACUGACACUCAGAUGCGAAAGCGUGGGGAGCAAACAGG
rnacentral:rRNA from 1 species